ensembl:lncRNA AABR07068799.1
CAGCUUCUUCUCUCUCUGUUACAGAGGCAAGGACCAGCCUGACCCAGGACAGCGAUUUUUGGAGGGCACUUGACAUAAACAUUCAUGAGGCUGAGACUGGGGAGGGCCUCCUUGCUCCGAGAAUCCACUUCCAAGUCUAAAAGGAGAAUUUGCCAGUGCCAUAUCAGAACUUUUGGAGGAGGUAUUGAGAGACAAAAGGGAACAAAUCUGGAAUCCUGGAACUACGGGCCAGCAGGCGAAACCAUAAGUGGGAGGAGAGAAGGCUGGGUUUCUGCUCCUGCUCUAACCCUGUUGUGUAAUAUCAUAUUUACUGCUUUCCCUGUGGCUUGUUAAAAGUUCUGAGAUCCUUCACAAUUUGUGCUUCACUUGAAUAUUUGGCUAAAGCAGAGCCGGACCCAGAAGCCCUGAAGUAGAAGAGGAAGGACUGGAUUCUUUUCAUCUGUUCUCAGAACUGGGUGUAAUAACAGCAGCCAUGAUGGUGUUUUGGAGAGCUAUAAAAGCAAAUACAACUUUCAAACGCCCCCGCAAAAGGUUUUUGUAAUAGCAAAGACAUUUCCUGUGCCCGAGUGACCACUCUUCCUGGUGCAGCUCAACCAUCACUGAAGCCAGUUCUACCAUCUCCUUCCUUCUCUUUCUAUAGUCACUGGCCAUGUGGCAGCCAAGGCAGCUCUUUAAAGGAACAUGGUUUAUACUUUGAUUGUAACUCUCUUACUAGAGUGAGAAUGAAAUCCAGAUCCCCCAUUUUUCUCUCCAAGAUCUGACUUGAACUGGCCCAUAUAUACUCCUUCUCUGAUCCUGUUCUGAACACUUUGCUACUUCAGGCACCAUCUACCAGAUGCAGUGGCUUUUUGUUGUCCCAAAAGUAUGUGAGAAUCUUCACUGUCUCAGAACUUGGUACAGUGAAGUCCUGUGCACGGAAAGUGCUCUCCAAUCCUCAGAAGACAGUUUGGUUACUGUGAGAAUUUCCUCUUCUUUCCAUACCCUUUUUCCUGUUGUUACCAUUAUUGUUGCAGUUUUUCUUCUUCUUGUUCCGCUUUGAACUGGACAAGAGGAUGUGUACUUAAUUUUUAAAAGAAUCAUUAGCUAGUAUAUCUUCUGUGCCUAAGACGAAACUUAGUACAUGCCUAGCAAACCCUGCUAAUGGAGAACAGAGAGACCUCCAAGGUAGAUUGUGUGGAUGAAAGUUUAAUCUGGAAUGAACUGAGGAGGGCCUGAGGCUGAGCUGCUGUACUCCAAACUGCUGAUCCGAUUUCCCACACCUUGAACUAGAACACAGGCAUUUUCAAGUCUUGUAAAAUGUGUAGCCUCCAAGAUUCCCUACUCGAAAUGCAAAUAGUCCCUUGAAUUUAUUUCUCAAAGAAAGAUACAGAAUACGUGGAUCAGCUUGGUAUCAGAGGCGGUGAACGACACAACAGAGCCAAAGGCCCACCCGGGAGAGGAAACCCAGGAAGGGAGAAAGGUCUGCAAAGGCCAUGGCAGGAGAAUAACAGCGGUUCUGUUUACAGUGGGAGCAUUUCCGCUUCCCAGGCCACAAAGAGUGGCACUGUUGACCAUCGAGGAUGCACAUUUCCAGGAAUCAGACAGUUCCUUUACUUUACGAAAGAAGAUUCUUGAUAUUUUUGAUUACAGAGAAGUUGGGGAGAAAGAGAGUGGUGUGCGUGCUGAAAAAGAAAGGAAAUGUGCAGAGGUAAGUCCUGCAGUGUGUGCGUCGCUGGGAGAGAUUUGGUAUCUAUAGUGUUGUGGUUACUAUGGUGACAAUGUAUUUUUAAUGACAUCAUUAAAUGGUGGUAUAGCUUCUUGUAACUAAGGGAGCUGUGCAGAACAGCUGUGCUGUUUGGCCUUGGCCUGUCUUUUCUGCAGGAUGGUUUUUUAAUGACUCCAAAAUAAAAGUGCUGGAUAGUGGAGCACUGUUUUGCUAUAUAACCUAUGUAUAUUUUAGAUAUAGCCAGGGCUUUAGAGAAUGUCAGUUCUCUCCAUUUCAG